UACGGAGGAUGCGAGCGUUAUCCGGAUUUAUUGGGUUUAAAGGGUGCGUAGGCGGAUCGUUAAGUCAGUGGUCAAAUUGAGGGGCUCAACCCCUUCCCGCCAUUGAAACUGGCGAUCUUGAGUGGGAGAGAAGUAUGCGGAAUGCGUGGUGUAGCGGUGAAAUGCAUAGAUAUCACGCAGAACCCCGAUUGCGAAGGCAGCAUGCCGGCUUCCUACUGACGCUGAAGCACGAAAGCGUGGGGAUCGAACAGG
rnacentral:rRNA from 1 species